CCUACGGGAGGCAGCAGUGGGGAAUAUUGGGCAAUGGGCGCAAGCCUGACCCAGCAACGCCGCGUGAAGGAAGAAGGCUUUCGGGUUGUAAACUUCUGUUGACAGGGAAGAGGAGAAGACGGUACCUGUCGAAUAAGCCACGGCUAACUACGUGCCAGCAGCCGCGGUAAUACGUAGGUGGCAAGCGUUGUCCGGAUUUACUGGGUGUAAAGGGCGUGUAGCCGGGUUGACAAGUCAGAUGUGAAAUCCGGCGGCUUAACCGCAGAACGGCAUUUGAAACUGUUGAUCUUGAGUACUGGAGAGGCAGCCGGACUUCCUAGUGUAGCGGUGACAUGCGUAGAUCUUAGGCGGCACCCCAGUGGCGAAGGCGGUCUGCUGGACAGCAACUGCCGGUGCGGCGCGAAAGCGUGGGGAGCAAACAGGCUUAGAUACCCGGGUAGUC
rnacentral:rRNA from 1 species